AUGCUCGCUUCGACAGCACAUAUACAAAAAUUGGAAUGAUACAGAGAAGAUUAGUAGGGCCCCUGUGCAAGGAUGGCAUGUAAUUCAUUCCAGAUUAAAAAAAAAAAU
ensembl:snRNA U6 U6 spliceosomal RNA